GCAGCGUGUGCUUUGGGCUGUGGGAGGAGGCACGUGCUUUCUCUGCUCUCUUACCUUCCAACAAUGCUGUGAGAUCGAGAUCUGGGCUGGCCGGUGCUCUGACAGACUGAAAUGAUAGAGGAUGUUUGACAAGAAUUUGGAAAUGCAUCUACCUGAAGGUUUCGUGUUUAUAGAACGAAGAAGGACAUCUUGUAAAGGCGCCUUUUCAUGUGCAGAGAGACCAUAAAAAUGUGGGGAAGAGGACAUAACAGAAUGAAAGCCAAGAAGAAAAUUGCAGCAAAGAGAUGGAGGAGUGCUGCUUAACCGUCUGUCUCCUGAAGUCUUCAGAUGGUGACUAGAUGCCUACAGAUAAGAAAUUUUUUAAUCAAGAAGUUAGAGAACUCCCUAGCUGAAAUGACAUGGAGUGAGUCAUAUGGUAGAUCAGACCAGAUCAUCUAAGAAAAUAUUCAGUCUUUCAAAUAUGCAUCCAUUUGAAUUCAGGUAAUACUUUUUUUUUUUUCCCAAGAGAGACAAAGACCAGAUCUUCCUAAAUCAGCUGUUUUGGUGGGAAGAGGAACCCUAGGGGACUUACACGACAUUUUAAGACCUAAAUAUUAGAGUAGAGCUAGGACAAUUUGGCAGGAGAUGCUGGCUGAAAGUAUGGCUUCAUUGAGCCCGAGUGGGAAUUUGAAUUCAGGGGGCUAAGUUACCACCCAGCGUGUCAAUGGGAAAACUGCCAGUGUAAAACAGGAAAAAAAAUGAUAUGAGAUGUUUAGCCUCAGGAAACAGAAUAGAAAAGAUGUUUGAGUCCCUGGUUCCCAUCUCCCCUCAAAAAAAAAAGAGAUGAGUCGAAUGGAGAGUGACAUCAGAUUCAAUGAUCUGUCUCAGCACAAGAUAUGUGUGAGGCAAGCAGCUGUUUUUUUCUUCUAAUACAUAAGAUCAAUAACGGAGGGACUGAGAAAUUAUACAGAUUGAACAAAACAAAGUUAAUUAGUGAGUUCACAGAGUCAUGGAAUAGUUGAGGUUGGAAGGGACUGCUGGAGGUCCUCACGCCCAACUCUUACUCAAGCUGGGUCACCUAGCACAUCUUCCCAGGACUCUGUCCCGGUGGUUCCAUUCUACAGAAGCAUUCAGGGUCAUAGUCUAUUCUUCAGCAAAAGCAUGAAAGAUCAUCACUCUUCAUCAAACCCCAGUAGUGAUGCUAUGAGACCUUUCCUUCAGGUAUAAACUCUUCUCCAGCUCUCUCAGUGCUGCUCUUUCUCACAUAGCCAUGGAUCUUCUGCAGCAGGAUCUGCUCGACGUGUGGAAAAAUUAUAAACCCACUGUUGUUAUGAGAGUCAGGGCAGAGCAUAAAUCUAAUUACAGGAAGCAGGAGAAAGAGGGGGAAACUUUCAGAGUGUUUUAUUGUAAUUUAAGUAGGCUUCUAAGAUAUGAGAAGUCAGCAAUAUUGUUAGAGGUUAUGAGGAGUUUUCAUGCAAUCACAAAUUCAUAUUUCUCUGUCCUAAAACACAGUCCGGGAGAAGGGCAGCCAGAGGUAAGUGGCAGAACCAGGAGGAGGAAGAGAGCUAUUAGCCGGCUCUGGUUUGUCUCUCCUUCUUAUCAGAUCGUAACUUCACGGUAGCACUUCCACGGCAAACUCCUUGUACCCCUUCCAGAUGAACUUUCAAGCCUGCCUCCCUAGCGAUGGGAAAUGCUAGACACACGAGAUCAGCUAACGAGGCAGGGGAGAAGUUCUUUUGGCUGCAAUGGGCUGUGUGGGAUCUCUCCAUGCCACAGCUUGGCUUCCUUUAUGUACAAGCCCUACCGAUUCCCCAUUGAGAUGGAGUAAGCUAACUGGUCAUUUUCUAUUAGGAAUGUCCCAACAAAGAUCAAGACUGAAUGUUCAAUGGGCACCUAUCUGUGUCCUUUCUAAUUGGCUAAGAUUUCCUCUGCUGGAUGUGUAUGUCAGACUUUUAUAAAAUCAACCCUCACUUUUAUAAAAUCAACCCCCACUUUUAUAAAAUCAACCCAUGCUGGUAGGCAUCCUAAGUAAUGUCAUGGAAUAAACUGAAGUAAUUUGGGAUACAGUUUGGUAUAAGAGAUCACAAGUACUCUGCUGAGAUUAUUCCAGUUUUAUAUCCACUUAUGAAACUACAAAAGAAAUCUGCCCACUGGUAAAUUUGAAUUAUUGUUUUCAUUUAUUUUUUUUCACUUGUCAACCAGCUUUUCCAACAUUUUAGCUGAUAUUUCCUGUUUUAAUCCAUCUGGGGUACCAUUGAUUAUUUUUUUUUCUUACAGUUCCCAGGGCAGAGUGAAGAAAAUGGGCAUCAAUUUAGAGAGUCUCUGCCAGGAAACAUAUAAUAAUGCUGUCGUUUCUAAGAAAACUGCAGCAGCAGGCUCAGACAGCUACGAAGUAGAGCACAUGCAUGGAUUUGUCAUCCUGCCUUACUCUUAAACAACAUUAGCUUCUUUGUCAAUUGUGAGAAAACAAGAGGGAAAACCCCUUGGAGGUGUGCCACACAUUUAUUUGUUCCUGAGCUCUUAUAGCAGUGUUGGCUACAACACAAUCCUUUUUUUAGAAAAGAAAGGUGAGCGUCUGUGCAACUUGUUCUGAAAAGUCAACAGACGUGUUUGAGAAAUGCAUUUUCUUGCCACAGGUUGACUUGUGACAUCCAAGGACAGGAUGCUUGUGACCGCACAUAUCCGAUGUUCAUGACAGAUCAUGAGUACUGCUGCCUGUCCCCUCCAGCUCUGCUUCUGGUAUGAAGAAGUCAUCCAACAUUGGAGCAUGCAUGGGCCACGGGUGCCCUGCUACUCCAACAUGGAAUGCUGCAAGCCCCAGAGAUUAGGUCAGCAGAGACACCCUUUUACUCUUCUGCAUCCAUGUUAACAUCUGCCUAUUUUAAGUAAAAAUCAGUGAUUUCGUACUUUCACAGACCCUUCACAAAUAUCAGGGCACCUCCAACCCAUUGAACAGCAAGAACAAAUCAAAAUUCUUCCAGUCUGCCUUCCUUCACCUAUGCUUAUGUAGAAAAUCAGCUUCCUUGGCUUACAUUGUCCUUCAGCCAGAACCUAAGAGAUGGGAGGAGUCUGGCCAGAGCCUUUUAGCAGGCGAGCCCUGCAGCAGCCAUAACCACAGCAGCGUAAGGCCGGACAGAGCAGAGAGGCCUGGCCGUGCUUCCCCCACCAUUGCAAGGCUGCCAUUUUCUGUCAUGACAGCUAACACACAAGUGACUUCAGCCUCUUAGUGAACCAAGUGGUAACGUGGGCUGGGUGCUCCACAGCCACAGCGGAACAUGAAGUGUUACUGAAAUGGUGGUGCCCCAAGGAAUGUUCUGCACAGUAGAUUCUGUGCUUUUUUUCAGGCUGUGUGUGAGAAACAAAGCUUGGUGCUUAAAGAUAACAUCUGGGUGGCCAGUGCCAGAGCCUGGAUCCUCCCUGGGCUAAGCCAUGCUCUGAUAAACGUGUGACACCAGGACAUGAGCUGAUGAGGACUUUGAAACACACUUUAUAGAUGUUCAUGUAAGAGUGCAAACAGUCCAAAUCCUGAUGCAGAAGCAUACAAACAGCAGCUCAGGAACUGUAUUUAUGCCGAGACAUGCAUUAGGCCUAUCCUAGUGCUUCAUGAGGCACAGUGGUAUCCGUAAUGCCCCUCCCCAGGAUGUGUUAAGAGGUUUGGCAGCUCAUUACAAGUUCUAAAACAUAAAGAGACAUCUGUGUCAAGCCCUAAUGAGAGAGUACCUCUGAACCACUCCAGUAAAACACCUGCAACCUGUGUGAUUGUUUUAAAUUGCCUUCAGGUAAUCCCAUACUUCCCCAUCAGAGCUGCCUUGCUGUUUGAGCUGAUGCUGUUGCCGCUCAUGGAGUAUGAGAAUGAGGAGAGGGAAUAGCGCUGCUGUAAGUCAUGAUGGCAAAACACAUUUCCCUUUAGAAACAAAUGUCGCAAGUGGUGGCUGAAAUCUACCAGAGUGAUGCACUUCCACAUCCGUUAGCACAUACUUCGACCAAAAUAGAACUGCUCAGUUUUAAGGAAAAUCUCUGCAAGGGGGAGAAAUACUCCUCCCCCCUUCCUUUUUGGUGCAUUAAGAAGGACCCAGAGUUCCCCACUCUCUCACUUGUUGCUAGAAAUUCAUCUUCCAUGAAAGCCACAGGAAGCACUGGCUGUCUGUUUCCAGCCUGUCUGCCCUAGGAGAGACCUCUGUGUUGGAUCCCAACAAGAAGAGAUGACAAACAAGACAAAUGCAUUUCAUAGCACCCGUGACUCAGAUGGAGCAGAUCAGCUCUUUGGCUAUUGCUUCAUUUACCAAGGCUUGUUUGCCACAGAUGUCACCAGCAACAGUCCCCAGAGCUACCACAGAAAGAUGCAAAGGAACUGCGGCCAAUUGCUGGUCUUCAGGUGUAAUUCAGGUCCUCCUGAAGCAAAGAUGGUCAGUAAGUAGUGCUCACCCUCCCCUUUCCCAGCCCCUCCAGCUCCCCACACCGUUGUGCCGCUGCCACACGCUCCAUGUCACAUCCCUGGAGAUGGUGCGCUGCUCCAUAGCUCCCUCCCAUCAUCUUCACAACGAGACCUGGCCUCCAUGCAAUAGAUUAAAACAAAAGUCGUGCUAGAGAAUUAACUGAUGAAUUGGGGUUUAGAAAGGCCACUAAAAUCAUCACAGAGCAAAGGAGUUUUCCAUUGCUUUGUUUGGAAGAACAAGUUGGCACAUGAACAAUAUUUAGUGCCUGAUCCUCCUCUACCCCUUGCUCAGCCCCAGUGAGAGAAUGAUGCCUCUCUUCUCCUUUGCAUUUUACAGUCCUUCACCUUGGGUUUUUCCUUGGGCAAGAACAGCUCUGUCCCAUUCAGCCUCAGGGCUGGGACUCUGGGAAAUACCUCCUGGAUCUCCAGUGGGCAUUUGCCUCCCUCACUGCAGUUCUUGUUCCUCUGUGCCUUUACGAAAUGUCAUUCAUCAAAGAUCACAAACAGUUUAAUUCAAAUAUAGCUUUUAUUUAUAGCAUUUUUUCCUCCGCUCUCCCUCCACAUCUCCAGAGCAUUUUUCUCUGUGCUUUCUAUUUUCUCCCACUGGACUACCCUCUCAAAUACAGCUUUCCAGCAGUGCAGCUCCUCAGUGUUAGCAGUUAUCCUUCGUAGGGAGAAUAAAGAUCCCUAUUCAAUGCCUGGUUAUCACUGAGCCACUAAAAACUGAGGUUUAUCGUUCUUGCAGCCUUUCAAGCCUUCCUUAAUAAGGAGUACUUAAACUUGUCACAAAAAUGUAACCUUAGGCUUGCACAAGAGUGACGCUCUUUUUGUCUCUCCUUCCAGGUGUCCAUAUGUCUGCUGCGGGGAACCUGGCCAGCUCACAGAGCUGCCUCUCCUCCAAGAACUGCAUACUGAGGCAAAUUCCCAGCUUAUUAAAAAAUAGUUUUGUUAUUUUGCCAUCUUGUUUGUUCUGCAGUUCCACCGUGUUUUUACCCUUCUUCCCUUCUCUCUUUCUUAUUUUGCUCCUGGCUUUCGGAAAAAAAAAAAAAAAAAAAAAAAGAAAUGGUAAAGAAGCGGAAAACACAAUAAAUUCUUAAAUAUGUCUUUAUAUUGAGGUUCUCAGUGUCACAGAAGAAGCCAUUGUCACUUCCAGACUGUCAUAGGAAUUGACAGGAACAUUCCACAUUCAGGUGCUGAUUGAUCAGAGAAGGGCUGUUUGUAUGAAGAACCUCAAAGGAGCUUCCAAAAAAAAUUAAAAAACCUUGAAGUACAUUAUUCAGCUUUUCUUCAGCUUGUGACGAAAGAGCCUUAACUUCAUUGUUGCUUAAUUCAUUUCCAAAAUAAAUUAAAUAAAAACCGCAAUAGCUAAAACUUGAGUAAUGUUGUCCUGGAUUUUAAUGUGGUAGAAGUACUCCACUCCCAAAUUUAGGUUAGUUGUUUCAGAUUAGUUUUCCUGAGUGAUUCUGAGAAAACUUUUCAUAUGUCUUUUUUUAAUUUGUUUUCCUUUCUUACGUAUUUCCUUCAGCUUACAACCUGGAGGAUGUUUGUCCAGAUUUCGAGGUUAAAUGCAGUUAUGCUUCAAUCCAGAAAAGUAAUCCUUCAAAAUAAAGGAAGAUGUUGUGGUCUGUGGAUUAGUUCAUGAAGACCUCAAGUUUACCACGCGCUUCCCCAAAGAACACAUCGCGGGCUGAAUGGGAGCACGGAAGCAGGCUGCCAGAAGGCACUUACCUAUUGUUCUUCCUUACCCAAGAUGGCAUGUUAAUUGCAGAGCACCCAGUGCAGCUGCCAUCUCUGCAUCAGCUGACUCCUAACCUUUACCAUGCAUACAGCAGUCAUUUGCCUGAGACCAGCUAGCAACAGAGUGCAGACCUGCCUGUUGAAGCUUGGAUUUCUGAGCAAUUUGUUCCCGUGUCACGGAGCUUACAAGGUCCAAUUACAUCCCCUCACUGUAGCAGAAGCCUUUCACUUGGUGUGGGGCUGAAUUUGAUGGCUAUGCAUCUCCCGCUGGAUAGCAGCUGGAGGACCAAGUUCAUCCACCUGUGUCCUUGGGCUUCCUACUAGUUGGACAUGUGUCUCUGGGUGCCAAGCCCAUUGCAAAAGCAAAAGCUAAGCCAGAGGAAUGCAGAUCUUAUUAAAUGGAGAAGGGGAUGGCCAUUUGGAAAGCUUAGAAAUACAGAGAAAUAGAUGUAUUUCUUGGUGGAGGACGUUUGAUGGUGGGCAUCACAGCUAGUGUUGCAUUGUAGAGAUGGAAAAUUUGUGUUUAUAUCCUGAAUACCAACUCUUCAUUCCAGCUGUGGGAAUCCUAACAUUUUUGGA